CCUCGCGACACGCACGGGGCUGGGGUCCCGCGCCCUCCCUGCAGGUGGAUGCUCGCUUGCUCGAGUGGGCCGUGCCGGGUUCUGGGGCUCCCCCGCGAGGAGCCGGGACCCGCGCCCCCGGGCUUCGCCACCGGGCGCCGAGCCGCGUGGACCGCCGAGGGUCGCUGCGUGAGAACGCCAGCAGCAGCCCGAGUCCUCUGGUUUAGCCAAACCCCGCGAGCCCCAGCCCCUGAAGACGGGCAUCCGGAAGGGGGUCCCCUGGCUCCAGGAAGGGAGCACUGGAACGGGGGCGCCCUCCAGGUCCUCGCUGCCUGGUGAGCGCCGAAGCCACGCUCACCUCCAGCGCACUUCAAAUUGAAAUGUCCCCAAUUGGGGAAAUAUUUAUUUGCAAAUGUUCAAGGAAAUGUCACAGAAAAAUCUGUUCAGUUGCGGAAAAUGGCCCUGUCCUUGGCGCUGACCCCAGAAGGCAGGAGGAGAGCCGGCCCUGAGCAACGAAGCUGUUGGCGUCUCCAUCCUGCCCGCUGGACCGGCAGUGCUUCCUCCCCUGCCUCUCAAGUCCUGUCCUCUGGGGGCUUCCUCCGGGCUUCCGGGAGUCCCUGCCAAGUGAUGGCAGAGAGACGUGGUUUUGGAAGACGGGCCGCCGCGCUGCUGUGCCCUGUCCUGCCUCAGGAGAGACAGACCACAGACUAGACGGUGUUCUCGGAGGGACCUGCCAGAGAAGUACCCAGUGAGGAAAUGGCCCUAGGUCCUUCCCAAGACAGCUCCUCUCUGGACAUGCUGGUGACACCCAGGGCCUGCUUUUUGCCCGUGAAGUCGUCCACCCUCAUGCCCAUGCAGCACGCGGUAUCCAUGGGCCAGAGUCCUCUGUGACCCAUCCUCCCCCGCAUUGUCAUGGGGCCGUACCCCCACAAACGGCUCUCUGAGCCUGACAGCACUGAGUGCCGCUUCCCUCGAGCGACAGGAAGGAGGGACUCCCGGGAUGGUAGCACGCCUCUGGACAUUUCAGAUACAUCUCGAGGAUCCUUCCGCGUCCUGAGGCUGCCCUCGCCAUGGGGAGACGGCAGAGCCCCGCUGCGCAGAC